rnacentral:piRNA from 1 species
GAUGGUAGGAACAAAUGAAGACCUU